rnacentral:rRNA from 1 species
UACGUAGGUGGCAAGCGUUGUCCGGAUUUAUUGGGCGUAAAGCGAGCGCAGGCGGUUCCUUAAGUCUGAUGUGAAAGCCCACGGCUCAACCGUGGAAGGUCAUUGGAAACUGGGGAACUUGAGUGCAGAAGAGGAGAGUGGAAUUCCAUGUGUAGCGGUGAAAUGCGUAGAUAUAUGGAGGAACACCAGUGGCGAAGGCGACUUCCUGGUCUGUAACUGACACUGAGGCGCGAAAGCGUGGGGAGCAAACAGGAUUAGAUACCCCGGUA